UGAACGCUAGCUACAGGCUUAACACAUGCAAGUCGAGGGGCAGCAUGGUCUUAGCUUGCUAAGGCCGAUGGCGACCGGCGCACGGGUGAGUAACACGUAUCCAACCUGCCGUCUACUCUUGGACAGCCUUCUGAAAGGAAGAUUAAUACAAGAUGGCAUCAUGAGUCCACAUGUUCACAUGAUUAAAGGUAUUCCGGUAGACGAUGGGGAUGCGUUCCAUUAGAUAGUAGGCGGGGUAACGGCCCACCUAGUCUUCGAUGGAUAGGGGUUCUGAGAGGAAGGUCCCCCACAUUGGAACUGAGACACGGUCCAAACUCCUACGGGAGGCAGCAGUGAGGAAUAUUGGUCAAUGGGCGCAGGCCUGAACCAGCCAAGUAGCGUGAAGGAUGACUGCCCUAUGGGUUGUAAACUUCUUUUAUAAAGGAAUAAAGUCGGGUAUGGAUACCCGUUUGCAUGUACUUUAUGAAUAAGGAUCGGCUAACUCCGUGCCAGCAGCCGCGGUAAUACGGAGGAUCCGAGCGUUAUCCGGAUUUAUUGGGUUUAAAGGGAGCGUAGAUGGAUGUUUAAGUCAGUUGUGAAAGUUUGCGGCUCAACCGUAAAAUUGCAGUUGAUACUGGAUAUCUUGAGUGCAGUUGAGGCAGGCGGAAUUCGUGGUGUAGCGGUGAAAUGCUUAGAUAUCACGAAGAACUCCGAUUGCGAAGGCAGCCUGCUAAGCUGCAACUGACAUUGAGGCUCGAAAGUGUGGGUAUCAAACAGGAUUAGAUACCCUGGUAGUCCACACGGUAAACGAUGAAUACUCGCUGUUUGCGAUAUACGGCAAGCGGCCAAGCGAAAGCGUUAAGUAUUCCACCUGGGGAGUACGCCGGCAACGGUGAAACUCAAAGGAAUUGACGGGGGCCCGCACAAGCGGAGGAACAUGUGGUUUAAUUCGAUGAUACGCGAGGAACCUUACCCGGGCUUAAAUUGCAGAUGAAUUACGGUGAAAGCCGUAAGCCGCAAGGCAUCUGUGAAGGUGCUGCAUGGUUGUCGUCAGCUCGUGCCGUGAGGUGUCGGCUUAAGUGCCAUAACGAGCGCAACCCUUGUUGUCAGUUACUAACAGGUUCUGCUGAGGACUCUGACAAGACUGCCAUCGUAAGAUGUGAGGAAGGUGGGGAUGACGUCAAAUCAGCACGGCCCUUACGUCCGGGGCUACACACAUGUUACAAUGGGGGGUACAGAGGGCCGCUACCACGCGAGUGGAUGCCAAUCCCAAAAACCUCUCUCAGUUCGGACUGGAGUCUGCAACCCGACUCCACGAAGCUGGAUUCGCUAGUAAUCGCGCAUCAGCCACGGCGCGGUGAAUACGUUCCCGGGCCUUGUACACACCGCCCGUCAAGCCAUGGGAGCCGGGGGUACCUGAAGUGCGUAACCGCGAGGAGCGCCCUAGGGUAAAACUGGUGACUGGGGCUA
rnacentral:rRNA from 1 species